rnacentral:rRNA from 1 species
AGAGUUUGAUCCUGGCUCAGGAUGAACGCUAGCGGCAGGCCUAACACAUGCAAGUCGAGGGGCAGCGCGGGUAGCAAUACCUGGCGGCGACCGGCGCACGGGUGCGUAACGCGUAUGGAACCUGCCCCCCGCUGGGGGAUAGCCCGCCGAAAGGCGGAUUAAUACCCCAUAGUUCCCUUACCCCGCCUGGGGUGAGGGGUAAAGCUUUGGCGGCGGGGGAUGGUCAUGCGUGCCAUUAGCUAGUUGGCGGGGUAAUAGCCCACCAAGGCUACGAUGGCUAGGGGGUCUGAGAGGAUGGUCCCCCACACUGGUACUGAGACACGGACCAGACUCCUACGGGAGGCAGCAGUGAGGAAUAUUGGUCAAUGGGCGGAAGCCUGAACCAGCCAUGCCGCGUGCAGGAAGACGGCCCUAUGGGUUGUAAACUGCUUUUGCACGGGAAGAAUAACCCCCUCGUGAGGGGGGAUGCCGGUACCGUGCGAAUAAGGAUCGGCUAACUCCGUGCCAGCAGCCGCGGUAAUACGGAGGAUCCGAGCGUUAUCCGGAUUUACUGGGUUUAAAGGGUGCGUAGGCGGGCGCCUAAGUCAGCGGUGAAAGGCAGCGGCUCAACCGUUGAACUGCCGUUGAAACUGGGCGCCUUGGAUUCGGUCGAGGUUGGCGGAAUGCGUGGUGUAGCGGUGAAAUGCUUAGAUAUCACGCGGAACGCCGAUUGCGAAGGCAGCUGACCAGGCCUGAAUCGACGCUGAUGCACGAAAGCGUGGGGAUCAAACAGGAUUAGAUACCCUGGUAGUCCACGCCGUAAACGAUGAUCACUGGAUGUCGGCGACACACCGUCGGCGUCUGAGCGAAAGCAUUAAGUGAUCCACCUGGGGAGUACGAUCGCAAGGUUGAAACUCAAAGGAAUUGACGG